rnacentral:rRNA from 1 species
CUGAUCAGCCAUGCCGCGUGAGUGAAGAAGGCCUUCGGGUUGUAAACCUCUUUUGUCAGGGAAGAUACGGACCGGGCUAAUAUAUCAAACUACUGACGGUACCUGAAGAAUAAGCACCGGCUAACUACGUGCCAGCAGCCUCGGUAAUACGAAUGGUGCAAGCGUUAAUCGGAAUUACUGGGCGUAAAGGGUGCGCAAGCGGUUACGUCAAACUGAUGUGAAAUCCCCGGGCUCAACCUGGGAACUGCAUUUGAGACUGCUGGACUUGAGUGUGUCAGAGGGGGAUGGAAUUCCCUGUGUAGCAAUGAAAUGCGUAAAUGAUGGGUAGGAACACCGAUGGCGAAGGCGAUCCCCUGGACCUGUACUGACACUCAUGCUCAAAUGCCUGGGGAGCAAACACGAUUAAAUACCCUGGUAGUCCACGCCCUAAACGAUGUCAACUGGUUGUUGGUAAGGUUUCUUCUCUCUCACCAGGCUAACACGUGAAGUUGACCGCCUCUGGAGUACAGUGUCGAGGUUGAAACUCUCAGGAAUU